rnacentral:sRNA from 1 species
UGAGAAAGCCGUCUUUGGUGCAUCUAA